rnacentral:ncRNA from 17 species
UAUGCCCAACAGGUGGCCAAAGGGGUUCCAGUUGGGAGACACCAGGCGCACCUCUCCUGCCACCGGGUCGAACAAGCCGCCAAACACCACUGCCUUGAGCACCAAAAGCCAGGCUCCCAAUCCCAGCAGCACCAGGUGGAUCCCUAGGAUGGUGGUCAUCUUGUUUUUGUCUUGCCA